GAUGAACGCUGGCGGCGUGCCUAAUACAUGCAAGUCGAGCGAACGGACGAGAAGCUUGCUUCUCUGAUGUUAGCGGCGGACGGGUGAGUAACACGUGGAUAACCUACCUAUAAGACUGGGAUAACUUCGGGAAACCGGAGCUAAUACCGGAUAAUAUUUUGAACCGCAUGGUUCAAAAGUGAAAGACGGUCUUGCUGUCACUUAUAGAUGGAUCCGCGCUGCAUUAGCUAGUUGGUAAGGUAACGGCUUACCAAGGCAACGAUGCAUAGCCGACCUGAGAGGGUGAUCGGCCACACUGGAACUGAGACACGGUCCAGACUCCUACGGGAGGCAGCAGUAGGGAAUCGGCCGCAAUGGGCGAAAGCCUGACGGAGCAACGCCGCGUGAGUGAUGAAGGUCUUCGGAUCGUAAAACUCUGUUAUUAGGGAAGAACAUAUGUGUAAGUAACUGUGCACAUCUUGACGGUACCUAAUCAGAAAGCCACGGCUAACUACGUG
rnacentral:rRNA from 1 species